AACAGACAUCCUCUGUUCGUUGUAGUGAAGGUUGAAUAUGAGGCCGAAGUCCAUCUAUAUAACUGUCUUGAUUGUGGCGUGUCUGCUUGCCUCUGAAAUGCCAAGAGUUGAUGGAUUUUUUUUGACUCUCGCUUUGACAAGAUAUGCAAUAAGAGGAAUCGGGCAAAUGAUUGAAUGUGCAGCAGCAAGCUUUGGUGGCUUUGGUUGUGGGCCAAGGCCUAAACCUCAACCCCGACCCACACCUCAAAAAUCACUUUGUGUCCUAUUCGGACCACAGAUGAGUCUUAAUUGUAUUUGUAACCCGAAAUUAAUAUGCUAGGCGAAAGAAAAAGAAAACAAUAAGUAAUAAUAGUAAUACGGAUAUCCCGGCGGAAAAAGAGCGAUAUAACAGAUUCCACGAGUAAGGAUAAGGAGAUGUAUAGUUCGGCAUCAAAUAAGGAACGCAAAAAACCAAACUUCUGCCGACAUAUAUGAAUACUUCGACAUAUAUCCAUGAAGUAAAGAGGAGAAAUAAAUGAAUUGAAAUAAUGGGGAUUUAAAUAAAAGUUUCAGAAAAAAAUGUUUUUUUCCCUUUUUCUGUUCAAACCCAAA